rnacentral:RNase_P_RNA from 2 species
AAAUUCGAGUAAUCGCUGCAACGUAUAUCGUUGUAGAGGAAAGUCCAUGCUCACACGGCUCUGAGAUGACCGUAGUGUUCGUGCUUACUGAAAAAAUAAGGUAAGGCAAGGCUAGCCUUGACGGCGGAAGGAAAACCUAAGUCUUUUGAUAUGGUUGACACUUCCUGAAAGUGCCACAGUGACGGAGCUUCAUCGGAAACGGUGAAGGUGGAACGAGGUAAACCCCACGAGUGAGAAACCCAAAUUAUGGUAGGGGCACUCUCCUGAAGGAAAUGAACGGAUGGAGGGACGCGGAAAUUCCGCGUAGAUAGAUGAUUACUACCCGAUAAGUACGAGGCUUAUGCUGUUUGAGUACACGGGAACAAAACAUGGCUUAUUGAA